rnacentral:rRNA from 1 species
UAGGGAAUCUUCCGCAAUGGGCGAAAGCCUGACGGAGCAACGCCGCGUGAGUGAUGAAGGUCUUCGGAUCGUAAAACUCUGUUAUUAGGGAAGAACAUAUGUGUAAGUAACUGUGCACAUCUUGACGGUACCAUAUCAGAAAGCCACGGCUAACUACGUGCCAGCAGCCGCGGUAAUACGUAGGUGGCAAGCGUUAUCCGAAAUUAUUGGGCGUAAAGCGCGCGUAGGCGGUUUUUUAAGUCUGAUGUGAAAGCCCACGGCUCAACCGUGGAGGGUCAUUGGAAACUGGAAAACUUGAGUGCAGAAGAGGAAAGUGGAAUUCCAUGUGUAGCGGUGAAAUGCGCAGAGAUAUGGAGGAACACCAGUGGCGGAGGCGACUUUCUGGUCUGUAACUGACGCUGAUGUGCGAAAGCGUGGGGAUCAAACAGGAUUAGAUACCCUGGUAGUCCACGCCGUAAACGAUGAGUGCUAAGUGUUAGGGGGUUUCCGCCCCUUAGUGCUGCAGCUAACGCAUUAAGCACUCCGCCUGGGGAGUACGACCGCAAGGUUG